UUACGGGAGGCAGCAGUAGGGAAUUUUCGGCAAUGGGCGCAAGCCUGACCGAGCAACGCCGCGUGAGGGAUGAAGGUCUUCGGAUCGUAAACCUUUGUCUAGAGGGACGAUAAUGACGGUACCUCUGGAGGAAGCCACGGCUAACUACGUGCCAGCAGCCGCGGUAAUACGUAGGUGGCAAGCGUUGUCCGGAAUUACUGGGCGUAAAGGGCGUGUAGGCGGCCUUUUAAGUCAGACGUGAAAUCUCUGGGCUUAACCCAGAAAUUGCGUUUGAAACUGGAAGGCUUGAGGAUCGGAGAGGGUAGUGGAAUUCCCAGUGUAGCGGUGAAAUGCGUAGAUAUUGGGAGGAACACCAGUGGCGAAGGCGACUGCCUGGACGACACCUGACGCUGAGGCGCGAAAGCCAGGGGAGCAAACGGGAUUAGAUACCCCAGUAGUCGC
rnacentral:rRNA from 1 species